rnacentral:misc_RNA from 1 species
GCGGAAGGAGGCCUGAGGGACUUCAUUCGGCAGGUUGAUGUUUUCGGGUUUCACCUGGCCCGACUCGACGUGCGCCAGGAGAGCUCCCGGGUAGCCCGGACCCUCGCCGAGCUGCUGCCCGGCGAGGACUACCAGGGCCUGGACGAAGCCGGGAAGGUAGAGGUUCUCCAGCGCCUCUUAAGAGAACCCGAAGAUGAGGCAUACCUGGAGGAGAUAUCCGACGAGGGCCGGGACCUGCUGAAGACCUUCGAUC